rnacentral:rRNA from 1 species
GGCGGGAUGACGUCAAGUCCUCAUGGCCCUUACAUCCCGGGCUACACACGUGCUACAAUGGCAGGUACAGAGGGCUGCGAAGCCGCGAGGUGGAGCGAAUCCCAGAAAACCUGUCUCAGUCCGGAUUGAAGUCUGCAACUCGACUUCAUGAGGGCGGAAUCGCUAGUAACCGCGAAUCAGCAGGUCGCGGUGAAUACGUUCCCGGGCCUU